UAGUGAGGUAACUGGUGCUUGAAAACAGAGAAAGGAAGAUACCGAAAAGUUUAGGUUGGAUUCAAAAGCCACCAAGCAAAGACUGAGCAGAGCCUGAAACCUGGAUCUAAACUCCCAAGGACAGCAUUGUCCUGUGGGUCCCCGCUGAGCACAAACCAGCCAGUGAGGAAGGUUUUAUCAUUAUCCCCACGUCUCAGAUAAGGAACUGAGGCCUACAGAGGUUCAUAAUUGGCCCAAGAUCACACAGCGGGUUCCAAAAUCCAAAAGACAUCCAUGGAAGGGCAUUGAAAGGUUGCAUAAUCUACAAAGUAUACCCCCAACAUCUCCAAAGAUGGGAGAAAAAAGAAGUAAGGGAAAAUAGGAGUGAGACCAGCGAGAGAGAGAGAGAGAGAGGAAGUGAUAAUGGUGAUUUUCAACUU